CUGAAUAAACGGGCCUUGAUCCCGCAAAAAUUAGUUAACAGCUAACUACCCUAACCAGCGGGCUUCUACUCG
rnacentral:tRNA from 1 species